rnacentral:rRNA from 5 species
UUGUCUCAAAGAUUAAGCCAUGCAUGUCUCAGUACAAGCCGAAUUAAGGUGAAACCGCGAAAGGCUCAUUAAAUCAGUUAUGGUUCCUUAGAUCGUACCCACAUUUACUUGGAUAACUGUGGUAAUUCUAGAGCUAAUACAUGCAAACAGAGCUCCAACCGGAAACGGAAGGAGCGCUUUUAUUAGAUCAAAACCAAUCGGUGGCGGUUUCUCCGUCAUCGUACAACUUGGUGACUCUGAAUAACUUUAAGCUGAUCGCACGGUCUCGCACCGGCGACGCAUCUUUCAAAUGUCUGCCUUAUCAACUGUCGAUGGUAGGUUCUGCGCCUACCAUGGUUGUAACGGGUAACGGGGAAUCAGGGUUCGAUUCCGGAGAGGGAGCCUGAGAAACGGCUACCACAUCCAAGGAAGGCAGCAGGCGCGCAAAUUACCCACUCCCGGCACGGGGAGGUAGUGACGAAAAAUAACGAUACGGGACUCAUCCGAGGCCCCGUAAUCGGAAUGAGUACACUCUAAACCCUUUAACGAGGAUCAAUUGGAGGGCAAGUCUGGUGCCAGCAGCCGCGGUAAUUCCAGCUCCAAUAGCGUAUAUUAAAGUUGUUGCGGUUAAAAAGCUCGUAGUCGAAUCUGUGUCCCGCGCCGCCGGUUCAUCGUUCGCGGUGUUAACUGGCGUGCCGCGGGACGUCCUGCCGGUGGGCUUAGCUCGAGAGGGCGGCCCAACUCAAUCCCGCCGCGGUGCUCUUCAUUGAGUGUCGAGGUGGGCCGGCACGUUUACUUUGAACAAAUUAGAGUGCUUAAAGCAGGCUAAAACUUCGCCUGAAUACUGUGUGCAUGGAAUAAUGGAAUAGGACCUCGGUUCUAUUUUGUUGGUUUUCGGAACCCCGAGGUAAUGAUUAAUAGGAACGGAUGGGGGCAUUCGUAUUGCGACGUUAGAGGUGAAAUUCUUGGAUCGUCGCAAGACGGACAGAAGCGAAAGCAUUUGCCAAAAACGCUUUCAUUGAUCAAGAACGAAAGUUAGAGGUUCGAAGGCGAUCAGAUACCGCCCUAGUUCUAACCAUAAACGAUGCCAGCUAGCGAUCCGCCGACGUUCUUUCGAUGACUCGGCGGGCAGCUUCCGGGAAACCAAAGCUUUUGGGUUCCGGGGGAAGUAUGGUUGCAAAGCUGAAACUUAAAGGAAUUGACGGAAGGGCACCACCAGGAGUGGAGCCUGCGGCUUAAUU